GUGUUCCCUUGGAAAGAAGAGACGGGUAGAGGAUGUACCCAAGAAAAGACAAUUCCUCUUGGCUGACCUAAGCAGAAGUAUUGGCUUGGGUCUCUGAAAGGAGUUCUUUCUUACUGCUGUGCAGCUUUAUGGCCUGCAGCAAGAAGACAUAGUCAAAAGGCUGGAAAGUAUAGUGUCAUCUGAACCAGAAGUUCCCCAUUUUUUUUAACCUCCCUUGAGAAUGGUGUCCAUGGUCUGUGUCUGACUGGAUUCCCAGGAGACAACACAAGCUCUUGCACAGCUGCUCCAGAAAAGGAACAGACCACUUGUGCUGAAAGUCAUCUCCUCCUGCUGCCUUUGCUUGCCCAGCAUGAUCGAUGGCACAUUUACAUCCUGAAGCAAAGGACUCUGCCUUUUCUUCCAUAUGAUCUGAGGUGGUGAAAGUGCUUUGUUAUCUGAUUACCAAAAAACUCCAAGCCAGCAAACCCAGGGAUCUAAACUAGCUCAAAAGGAAGUUAAACCAGGCUGCUGUGGAGAGCUGCUCCUCCUCCAAAGGAUUUAUGUCUUUCUCUAGAGAUCACAAAAAUACAUAAUGGAUCAAGAAGAUAACCACAACUAUAAAGAGAACAGUUAUUGAUAGUAAUUUUUCAAUCUGCAUGGAAGAUAUUUUGACCUUGGGAAGUCCUUUUGGCUACGUGAAAAAGGAAUUACUCCCUGUGUUACACUGCCGUUCAUGCUACUGAUCAAGUUGGGCUCAUCAGAAUCACAGAAUAAGCUGUGUUGGAAGGGAUCCUAAAAGAUCAUUGAUCACUCCAGCCCUGCACAGCAUCAUCCCAAGCCUUUUCAAUCAUUUUCCAUGGCAAAAUAAAUUCCUGUUAACACAAGCCCACGUGCAUCACAUACUGUGUGUUUUUACCCCUUCACCUCAGCCUUUACUUUUACCAUGCAAUUUAAUUUGGUCUCAGCAUUUAUGCACUGCAGGAAACUAUUAAUACAUGAAACCUCCCUUUUCACUGCUAUGAUCUCUUAA